ACCCUCCAGAUUCCUACUCCUUGGAUGUAAAUAUUGGUCCAAGGGGCUGUCAAAGGAGAAAAGUAUCAUUGAAAUGGACCUGGAUUCCUUUGUGACAGACAAGUUAAUUGCAAACAAAA
rnacentral:snoRNA from 1 species